CGAUCUCAAACUGGAAGGUCACUACCUUCCUCUCAUUCUGGAGUAGGCCUUCUUUUUCCAACCCCUUUCUCUAUUAACCCAAGAGAAAGAUUUUCUCUUAGACAUAAAGAGAUAAUUGAAGUUCUUAAAAGAAAUGUUUAUAAGAGAAAUAAGAAUUUUUAAAAUUACAGAAAGAACAAGUUUUAGGACAGAUUAUUCAGCAAGGCAAAACUCCUAGGUAUCACUGAUCCUUCAGCUCGUUCUCAGGUCUAGCUUUUCUUCUUAUAGUAUCCUGAAUGGAUUCUAGCUCUACUUACUAAGCUAUGUCUCACUGUCCAGCUGAAUCAGCCUUUCUCAUAUGUCACCAGCUAGCACCUUGUCCAGGAGACAGCUGCCAACUUGCCCUCUUUCUGUUUAUGGUAAUAUUAUUAAUUCUUUUGCAAUCUAAUUUUGAAACCAUGAGAUUGACUUGAGAAAGAUUGACAUAGGGCAAUGUCUCUCAACUUUAUGAUGGAAAACAUUUUUCAAACAUUUCUAAUGUAAAAUGUCUAUUAUUUAAAGACUUCAAAUGAAGCCUUCCUUGUUUAUUCAGUUUCCCCUUCACCUUCCCUUGUAGCUCCUGAAACUCUAUCAUAGAAUCCCAAGGCUUCUUUGAUCAUGGUUUUGAAAACAUUACUAUAAUAGAAAGAACCUUGAAAAAGGAGAGAGAAUACAUUUCUUAAUUAUAUCAACCUUGUGACUUUGAGCAACCCUCUUAACUCUGAGUUUCUUUUCUGAUAUAACUGAGAAUAAUAUCUGAUCAAUUUGUUGGACUGCUUUGAUCAUCAGUCUCAUCUCCCACUGCAAUUCUGCUCCCCAUUUAUACUUUAAUCUUCUAAUGUUGUAGGAUUAUUUGCCCUCCCCUAAUACUCUGCCAAUUUUUAUGACCCUGGGCCAUUGACCACUUUUUCUUCUAUAUCUAGAAUACAUUUUCCUUUUUUCUUUCAGUGAAAUCCCUACUUUUCCAGCAUAAAUGACAGCUUUCUGACCCAAUCAUAAUGAAGAGGGGUGUGUGUGUGUGUGUGUGUGUGUGUGUGUGUGUUUAAUCUGCAUUUGCAUGGCAUUUUGUAUAACAACUUUUUACACCAUGGCUGAGUUUUGAUAAAGAAAUAAUUGUAAAAUUUGUAUCUAUUUUAUCCG
rnacentral:lncRNA from 10 species